rnacentral:rRNA from 1 species
AACCUCCGCAAUGUGAGAAAUCGCGACGGGGGGAUCCCAAGUGCCAUUCUUAACGGGAUGGCUUUUCUUAAGUGUAAAAAGCUUUUGGAAUAAGAGCUGGGCAAGACCGGUGCCAGCCGCCGCGGUAACACCGGCAGCUCUAGUGGUAGCUGUUUUUAUUGGGCCUAAAGCGUUCGUAGCCGGUUUGAUAAGUCACUGGUGAAAUCCUGUAGCUUAACUGUGGGAAUUGCUGGUGAUACUGUUGAACUUGAGGUCGGGAGAGGUUAGCGGUACUCCCAGGGUAGAGGUGAAAUUCUGUAAUCCUGGGAGGACCACCUGUGGCGAAGGCGGCUAACUGGAACGAACCUGACGGUGAGGGACGAAAGCUAGGGGCGCGAACCGGAUUAGAUACCCGGGUAGUCCUAGCCGUAAACGAUGCGGACUUGGUGUUGGGAUGGCUUUGGAGCCGCUCCGGUGCCGAAGGGAAGCUGUUAAGUCCGCCGCCUGGGAAGUACGGUCGCAAGACUGAAACUUAAGGAAUU